GACGAACGCUGGCGGCGUGCUUAACACAUGCAAGUCGAACGGAGCGAAUGAAAGCUUGCUUUUAUAAGCUUAGUGGCAAACGGGUGAGUAACACGUAGGCAACCUGCCGACAGGAUGGGGACAACAUUCCGAAAGGAAUGCUAAUACCGAAUGAAGUCGAGGGAGGGCAUCCUCCUCCGAUGAAAGAUGGCCUCUAUAUAUAAGCUAUCACCUGUCGAUGGGCCUGCGUCUGAUUAGCUGGUAGGUGAGGUAACGGCUCACCUAGGCGACGAUCAGUAGCCGGUCUGAGAGGAUGAACGGCCACAUUGGGACUGAGACACGGCCCAGACUCCUACGGGAGGCAGCAGUGGGGAAUCUUCCGCAAUGGGCGCAAGCCUGACGGAGCAACGCCGCGUGAGUGAAGAAGGUCUUCGGAUCGUAAAGCUCUGUUGAUGGGGACGAACGUGCCUAAUGCGAAUAGUAUUAGGUAAUG
rnacentral:rRNA from 1 species